rnacentral:lncRNA from 1 species
UUUGUAUUUCUUUUAUGUACAACUUUUCCUAGGAGGUUACCCAAAAACAUUUCUGUAUAUAAGUUUGGAUUUGUACACUUGAGAAGAUACAAUUUUUCUUCCCAUUCAUCAAAUAUACAAGCAGAAAAAAAUUACAGUUCAUUAAUUUUUUCAUGGUAUCAGAGCAUGUUUAAUUCUGGUAUUUUUCUGCUUUCUCAGUCACAAAUCAGCUCCUUUCUUUUCUUCUUCUUUCAUCUUCAUUUUAUCUGAUAUGGGUACUUCACCAGAGUCAGCUGAUACUCUAGCUUCUGCUUCUGCUGUUACCACUAAUGCUCCUGCACCUGCAGUGACCUUUGCUUCAGGAGUAAUUGACUCCACUCACCCUUAUUACCUUCAUCCUUCUGACUAUCCAGGGAUGAACCUUGUAUCCUCAGCUUUUGAUGGCAAAGGAUAUGGAGGUUGGAGAAGGGCAGUCAUCAUUACCUUGUCUGCAAAGAACAAGCUGGGAUUCAUCGAUGGUACUCUUAUUAUCCCUAAGACUGAUUCUGCAGUCCAGCAGACUUGGGGUAGAUGUAAUGAUAUGGUACUCUCAUGGCUUCUCAACUCCUUGUCCAAAGAGAUAGCUGAAAGUGUGCUCUAUUCACAAAGUGCAAAGGAUUUGUGGAGUGACCUGGAAGACAGAUUUGGACAGGCAAAUGGAGCAAAGUUGUUCCAAUUACAAAAGGAAUUAAGUUCAGUAGUACAAGGUAAUUCAAGUGUAUCAACUUACUUCACCAAAAUCAAAAGCCUAUGGGAUGAACUAGAUGCACUCAAUACAUUUUCUGCUUGUGUAUGUGAGUGUGAGUGUGGUGCAAAAGUCAAAAGCUUGAAAGCACACCAAGAUGAGAGACUAUUGCAUUUCCUAAUGGGACUAAAUGAUAUAUUUAUUGGGGUAAGGAGUAACAUUCUAUUGUCAUCACCUUUACCCUCCAUUAGACAGGCAUACUCUCUUGUGAUUCAAGAUGAAAAGCAAAGGGAGAUACAUGCUACCCCUGCAUACUCAGGAGAAUCUGCCUCAUUCAUUGCUACCAACCAACAAGGAAAUUUCAGAAGAUUUAAUAAGAACAGGAUGCAUAAAACAAGUUUUGAAUCUAAGAAAUAUGUAGGAAUUUGUUCCUAUUGCAAAAAACCUGGACAUAGCAUCCAGAAAUGUUAUAGAAUUCAUGGGUUUCCAGCUGAUUUCAAGUUCACAAGGGAGAAAAGAUUUCAAGGAGUUGCCCAGGCAAACAAAGCUUCUUUCUCAAAUGAAGAAAAUGAACAGGGAAGUGCAUCAGGAGUUCAGAAUCUCACCAAGGAAGAUGUGGCUGAGCUGCUGCAGCUUCUUCAACAAGUGAGAGUGGGACAUUCCAGUGCAGAUACCCCUGAUGUUGCAGCAAAUGUGAGCCAUGCUGGUAUGACCAAUUUAUCUGAAGAUUUAGCCUGUUUAAUU